GUGGCUGACCGGUUACGGUGUUCGCUUUGUAAGCGAAUGGUUCUGGGUUCGAUUCCCAUC
rfam:Culex pipiens quinquefasciatus supercont3.120 genomic scaffold, whole genome shotgun sequence.